AAAGGAGCUUGUUUAACAGCUGAAUGAUUUAAAUAAAUUCCUUUAGCUUUAAAUCAUGCAGCUGUUGAACAAGCAUUUGC
rnacentral:pre_miRNA from 1 species